AUUGAACGCUGGCGGCAUGCCUUACACAUGCAAGUCGAACGGCAGCACGGGAGCAAUCCUGGUGGCGAGUGGCGAACGGGUGAGUAAAGUAUCGGAACGUGCCCAGUCGUGGGGGAUAACGUAGCGAAAGUUACGCUAAUACCGCAUACGAUCUAUGGAUGAAAACGGGGGAUCGCAAGACCUCGCGCGAUUGGAGCGGCCGAUAUCAGAUUAGGUAGUUGGUGGGGUAAAGGCUCACCAAGCCGACGAUCUGUAGCUGGUCUGAGAGGACGACCAGCCACAAUGGGACUGAGACACGGACCAGACUCCGACGGGAGGCAGCAGUGGGGAAUUUUGGACAAUGGGCGAAAGCCUGAUCCAGCCAUGCCGCGUGCAGGAUGAAGGCCUUCGGGUUGUAAACUGCUCUUGUACGGAACGAAAAGGUUUGGCCUAAUAAGCUGAGCUCAUGACGGUACCGUAAGAAUAAGCACCGGCUAACUACGUGCCAGCCGCCGCAGUAA
rnacentral:rRNA from 1 species